rnacentral:misc_RNA from 1 species
ACCUAAUAGUAGUAACCACCUCCGUAUGGACGAUCAUUCCUGUAAUAAGGUGGAUAUGCACCAUAUUCAGGACCAUAGGAACCAUGUGGGUAAGGAUCAUUGCCUGCAUCAUAAGUAUCAUAAUAAUGUGUUCCAUGCAAUGAAACAGCUGGAUCAUUGUAAUCUAAUCGGGGACGGAGCCUACUAGGUUGUGCAUAAUCAGGAUCAUGGUCAGUCAUGAAAAAAGGCCGCUUCAUCCCAUGUGCACCAUCAUCGUAGAAAUAAGGGUCAUCACAGUGCCUUCCAACGUAAGGUCUAUCAAAGGCUUCUUCUGCAGAAAAUGGUUGCCUCCUAGAGGAAGCAUGGUUCCCAUGCCUUCUAUCAGAGGCAUCAAACCAAGGUCUAUUGAAAUUAUACCUUGAUGGGCCAGCAGCAGUAACACCUCUUCCAGCAGGGUGAUAACCACCUCUUAGAGGACCUCUUCUUCCUCCUCGUCCAAAGAAUUGCCUCCCAUUGAACAUGGCAUUUCGGUUAUUGAAAUCAUAUUCAUUGGGACCCAUUCUAGUAGAAUGACCAUGUCCUCGUUGAUGGAAACCCCUAUCACGCUGGAAAUUUGCCCAGUUGAAGUGGUGUCCACCCCGCCCAAAAUUCCUUCCAAAUCUUGAAGAGUUUCCAACGCCAGCACGAUCAAUCAGAAAACCACCACACAUUCCACCCUUCACAGCCUGAGUUUUAGGCAUAGGAUUUGACAGCCUUGCUUUGACUCUCGUCUUUGAGUUCCCAUCACCCAAUUCUUUGUUGUUUAUUCUCUCAAUACAUGCAACAGCAGCUUCAUGGGAAGAGAAAUCAACAAACCCAAAAUCCUUCCUCUUGGCAGUUGACAUAUUUCGCGCCAGGACAAUUCGCACUAUCUCCCCGUAGCCUUGCAAAUGCUCUCUAACACGGUCUUCAUCCCAGUAAGGAGGGAGCCCAUCAAGAAAUACCGUCUUCACAUGAGCCAUAAUUUCUGGAUCAGGCUCACGUAUAGGUUCAGCAAAUGCUACUUUGGCAGUUCUCUCCGAAUGACCAAAUAUAACAUCUGGCUUCUGAAGCCUCUUGUAUGCAUGCAUGGCAUCAGCAUGGCAAGAGAACUCGAGAAAUGCAAAACCACGGCUCCUCCCUUCAUGUUGAACAUCUGGGACAAGAGUGAUGUUCUCAACACCUUCAACGCCAUAAUCUUUCAACUUUUGUCUAAUAGCUUCCUUUGUCCAUGUGUUGCAUAUGUUGCCCAAAAACAAAGUAUCAUUGUCCUCGCUUGGUGCUGUCCCACACCGCUUUCCACAAAUCACUGGGUUUUUCAUUUCGGACAAAGCACGUUUUGCAUGCUCCUUGUUUGCAAAUUUCACAAAUGCAUAUCCCUUACUCUUACUCAUCGAAAGAUUCCUAUGCAAACGAACUUCAACUACCUCACCAAUCUUCUCAAAAACCUUUCUCACAUCAUCUUCUGUGGCUUCUCUAUCUAGGCCACCAACAAAUAUUUCAUACUCUUUCUUUAUCUUGCGUUCCUUAGCAAUAGCUGUUAAUUCUUUGCGUUCCUCUUCUAGUGCCUCAGCUUCUUCAACAGGCUCCUCUGGAUCAUCUUCUACAAAGUCAUCCUCAACAUGAUCUUCAAAGUCCACUCGAUCACCAUACUCCUCAUAUCCCUCAUCAACACCGUACUCAUCCUGCACAGGUUGAGUAUCUUCUACCUGCAACUCACCUUUGCUAUCUUCUUCUGUGUCAACAGCCUCAAUUUUGUUCUCUUCCUUAUCAUCAAAUGUUUUUGUCUUAACCUCCUUCACUUCCUCUGAUUUGUCUGUACCACUGGGUUCUUCAUUUUUAGAGACCUCGGCAAUUUCAUGAGAAGGCAAGUCCACAACCAUUGCAGUUUGCUCCUUUUUGGGCUCUCCAACAAUUUCUGUUAUUGAUUGAUUCUCCUCUGCAGAUUCAAUUACAGACUCUUCCAGUUCCAUUGCAGCUUUUCCCUUCGC